rnacentral:lncRNA from 1 species
CGGCGCUGACAGAGAAUCUUAAGGAGUGCUCGGCCUCCUGGUCGCGGCUCCGGCCUGAAGGAAUCAGUAACACCGUGGCCGACAAUAGCGGGGUGGGUGACACCAGGGCCCCCUCUAGCCCAGGUCAAUCCCAGUGCUCAAGCACUUAAGCCCCUGCUGCGUUCGGGAAUGUUCUGGGGAGCCUCAAAGCUGAGCACCAGGGCGCAGCCGCAGCCUCCCGCAUUCUCCUGCACUAGUGCACCGCCUGGGCUCCCUUUUGCCCCGAGUGAUUCAAUGGGCCUAAGACAAAUGGGCUUUUCUGCACCCAGGCCUCUGGGAAGGUCUCUGUUCCUAGUUAUCUAGACUUGGUCUGAUGGGCCCUGUUCUCUGAUCCUCGCGGGACAGAAAGGAAAAAAAUUCAGACAAAGGUCACAGCAGUGCCCUCCUUGUGUAAAAUUAGUCUGCUGGAGCCGGCUUCUCGGAUGAGGAGGCACAAAUUAUCCAGGAAGAAUCGGACUGUGUUUGGGCAUUGGGUUGAAGGUGGGAAAGAAUCUGAAAAUAAUCUCGUAUGUGAGCUUGAAAUGAACCGUUCAGCCACAGGACACACACUUAUCCCUUUACUUCCAGUUGCUUCCGAAUAAUUACCACUUCUCCAUCGGAGCAUCCUUCUGCCAACCGGGAUUAAUAGUCUAAGCGACUCCUGUGCGUAGGCCACCUAAGACCAGGUUCCUGUACUAAACCUGUCUUGGGACUGGGAAUUAGUGCUAGUGAAAGGAAGGAAAGGAAUUCAUUAAUAUUACUUCUUCUCUGUUACUUUUUUCUGCAAUGAAUCAAAAGCACCCGGAGAAGAAUAUGAUAUCGGAGAAGAAUAUGAUAUCGCAUGCCUGGACCUCGGGCUUAGCUUCCUUUUUCUGACCCUUCCUCAACCCGGCAUUCCCUCAUCAGAUUUGGAAUUCUCCUUAUGGGGAGUGGGCGGGGAAAUGGUCCAGGUAAGUAUGGGAGCCACAUGGUCUAGCGAAUUGAAAAAAGGAAAAUCAUCUCCAAAUGCAGUCAGGCAGGUGGGGGUAGAUGGAAGCCGAAAAAGAAUGGUAAAUCUGAAUUAUCCCGAAGACAGCAGACUCCAUACCGGGUGGUGAGGUGUGAGAAACAGUCAACAUUUAGAGCACUGGAGUCAGAAGUUUUGGCAGCUUUUAGAUAACUUCCUGAUCUGCAGUAAAGUUCACGUUACUGAGAGGAUGUUUCCGCUGUCUGUUGCCUGGCUUCUUUCUCUCCAAGUCUGGAAGUUCACGAGAUUUUACUGAGUCUCAAUUGAAAAUGGUACCGGCCCAGUGUAGUCCUGGCGAUCUGGUACUGCAUGGGUGGGACCCAGAUAGUGACUGGCUCACAGAGCUGUUGACUCCUCAGCUCUCACCUGCAAGGUGACUCCGAAGCUUCUGGUUUCCAAAUGGAGAAUCCAGCUGUCCUCCUCUAGCUGUCAACCUUUUUCUGACCUUCCCCAAAUGGUCCAAACUUUCUCUCCCUCUCUCUCUCUCUCUCUCUCUCUCUCUCUCUCUCUCUCUCUCUCUCUCUCUGUGUGUGUGUGUGUGUGUGUGUGUGUGUAAAAUUCCAAGCGUCUUCCGAGGCCUCGGCGCCUUCCGGCUUCGGCAGCCCUGUUUCUGGAAUGUGAUCAUGCAUAAUUAGGGCCUGACCACUAUGGAAAUAUAUACAAGAUGUUUUCUUUCUUUACUGGAAAAAAAAAUUUUUUAAAGAGAUAUGGCGCACUCUGCGGGGCUCCCUGCGAAGCAGCGCUCACCUAGAGGGCCUACCACCUGCCGACCUUGAACCGACUCCUGCUGGGAGAGGGCUGGCGGGUGGAGCUCAGAUCCUGGCAGUUCCCCCACCAUUCAAGCCGGGGUUGCGUCUUGGGGUUCCCCCGCGGCCAGUACAGGUCUCUCCUCUUGUCCCUAUGGCCAGUGGACCUCGAGUCGCUCUCCAAGUCAUACACGUGGGAGCUGAUCCACGCUGCAGGAGAGGAAGGGAAAUCGGUGCUCCUUCUGUAACUCAAGAGCUUUAGCAUGGGUUCCGGCCAGUUUGGAGAGACGGUCCCCCGCGGCAGUCGAACAUUGGCUUCGCUGAGGUGCUGCAGCGGUUGGGUGCGGGGAAUAAACAACUGUCUGAAUAACUAUUGCAAGUAUACAACGGGGGACCUUGCUCGACAAGAUCAGAGAAUGCACGGGGGACCUUGCUCGACAAGAUCAGAGAAUGCACGUGGAGGCAAGACUGAGAAGGAGCUUGUAAGACCUCAGGGAAGGAGUGAAUUUGGCAGAAUCACAGGUCUCUGUGUGGGACUCCGGAUCUGAGAGGCUACCCCUCACAGUGGUAAGGAAAGAUGGUUGUCAGAUCACAUUUUUCCGAGUUUGUACAGCGAAAUGCGAGGUUUUCCCGAAAACUAGAAGAAAUACAGAGUGAUGAGGAUGACCAAGUCUAGAAGGGGUACUUCCCCAAUGUUUAGCAAAUAUCCCGUUUUGCAAAGACAAAGACAAAAAGGUCCAGAUGAUGUCGACUAGAGAUAACAAAGCUAGUCCAGAAGCCAAGACCCUAUCCACUUGUACCUGACUCCGAAUCGCAUACAGCACUUGCCACUCACUCUAAUAAGCGACUCUUAAGAACAUUCCUAAUUGUAUAAAAGUGGUGAGUCUGUCCAAACUCCAGACGGCUUUUAGAACUGUGUCAUAUUUAGUAAAAGAGAUUUACACUAAAUCCGCUGUGAAGGAAGAAACCAGGGUAGUAAGUUUUCUUAGGUAAGCCAGAAAUGUCUUCUAAUUCCCAACGACUAAUUGUUUCAAACAAUUAUUUUCCAGCCCCGCAUAACUGCAAACACCAGACCGCAGAGCCCAACCGGCGAUCACCACCUCCUACCGAAUCCAGCGGAUAUCCAAGAAGCGACUAUUGACACUGUCUCCUGUUGCGAUCACUGGCUCUCGUAGACUUUGCUCACUACCGGAGCUGCACUGUUUUUCUCAUUUGGAACCCUUUCUUUUUGGUCUUGGCUUAGGAAAUCACUCUGGUCAUUAAUAACUGCAAUAAGAUCACCGUGGCCCUAGUCACUCGGGAUGGCGAGGAGCCCAGAGGUUCCGCUGCCGUCGGCGGGCUCAGUCCGUUCCUCCGGUGGGGGAAAGCCUACACUGGACCUGCCUGUGCCACCCAGGGCUUUUCUCACUCCAUCUCCUAGCCGCCCCUGGCUUUCCCUGGCUGCGCCAGUGGGUAAGGCCUCCAGGACACUAGACCCACUUGUCUGCUAAUGUGCGGUUUCCAGGCCAAGAACUCCAGAGAUACUGAACAAGGAAUGUGGGCUCUAGAAAGAACGUGGAGAAAAUCAGAGAAGCGCUUCAGCUAGGGUUGUUGGAAACAGGCGAAAUUCUGAGAGCCUUUUGAAAUUUGUGCCCGAUUCUUUUCCUUGUUUUAUUCCUUUCCCUCUCUCUUCACAUGCUUUCAUGUUCUUUAAAUUUUCCUCUUGACUUUCUUGAGUUUUAGAGUUCCCAAGCCGCUGGAGUCCCUGUGAGAAGAGAAAAUGUCACUUUGGGAUCACUGGUGUCCUCAGAGAAGGGAAGACCAAGUUCAAUUGUAAUUGGCAACUUAAUCCCAGUCUCACGUUCUUGUGGUCAGCUUCUUCCGCCCUGUGUUCCUAAAGUGGAGCCACCAGCCACAUACAACAGCAGAAACUAUGUGCAGAGGAUGGUAAGGACAGAAAGACAGCAAUGCAGUGCUGCUUCUUGAACUUCGUUUCACUUGUCUGUCAGUCUUAAUUGUCUUCACUGAGUUAAUCAAUAACUGUAACUGAGGAAAAUAAAUCACUGUAGAGCCUCAUUCUCCCAUCUCAAGGACUAUAAAAUAACUUAAUGCACACUUGUAGGGUUAAAAAGUAGCAUCAAAUGACCACUCAUUUAGCUACCUCUAGGUUUGAAAUAGUUUUCCAGGUUGGCAUGCCUGUAAUCCCAGCAACUCGGGAGGCUGAGGCAGGAGGAUCAUGAAUCAAAGCCUACCCCAGCAGAUUAGCAAGGCACUUAGCAACUCAGCAAGACCCUGUCUCUAAAUUAUAUAUAUAUGGCUGGGGAUGUGGCUCAGCGGUUAAGCAGUCCUGGGUUCAAUCCCUGGUAUCAAAAAAAUAAAAAAUAAAAAAAAGUUUUCCAGGAGAAAUUAGAGUCCAGAAUCUUUAGAGUAGCCAAAAAACAAAACAAAACAAGAUAGGAACUGUACCUGAUAUACCCACAUAAUAUCACUUCCAUGCACAAAGGGAGGGAGAAAUGGUUCAACAGGGAUAUGUGUAGCUUCAAGAACAAUUUAUCCUUAAUGCCCACCUGGGGUUAGUGGCUGCCUCAAAGAGAAGAAGGCAAGGUCCCUCUCCCCAGAUUUGUUUGUUUGUUUGUUUACGUUUUUGGUGACUGGGGAUCUUGCUCAGCCCCAGCAUAUCAAGAAAGUAAAAGGAAGGUGGGGGGUGUGGGGAGAAAGUAGCUAGAUAAUGGAGAAUAUCUAUACUGGGAUUGUCUUUGUAGAAGAGGAAGUGUGUAUAAUGGGAUGUGGGUUUCUCCCCAAGCAAUCCCUAUACUACAGAUGCCUCUCCCAGUAGGCCUGCAUACUGGCUGCCUACAGGGAAGCUUCCUGGCUUUGCCUGUUCUGUUUCAUCCCUCCUGCCUUCUGGAGAUUUCUCAACUCCAAAAGCUAAGGCAUUUUCUCCAGAGUGUAAACAGUCACCAGCCUAUAUAGAUGAGAGAGAAAUCCAUGACACUGUAAAGCAACUACCGAAUAAGGGGUGGCAGGUAGGUAGAAGGGCAAAGAAUGGGAGGUAGAGCUUCUGGGGCUUUGCUUCCAAAGGCUGACACACACUCAGUCCUCUCCCAGCUUAGGGUUAGGUGAUCCCUUCUGCUUACUGAACAA